CGAGGGGUUAGCUCAGUUGGUUAGAGCAAUGGACAUUUAAUCCAUGAUGGAAGCGGGCAACUUCCCUAAAAAUGCCCACCCUUGA
rnacentral:tRNA from 2 species